CUUGGUCAUUUAGAGGAAGUAAAAGUCGUAACAAGGUUUCCGUAGGUGAACCUGCGGAAGGAUCAUUACAGAGUUCAUGCCCUUCGGGGUAGACCUCCCACCCUGUUUAAUUACUAUUGUUGCUUUGGCAGGCUGCCCUCACCAUGGGGCGUCCGGGUUCCGCCCGCGUCUUGCCUGCCAGAAGCCCCCUAAUUCUGUGUUCUGUGUCGUCUGAGUACUAUAUAACAAGUUAAAACUUUCAACAACGGAUCUCUUGGCUCUCGCAUCGAUGAAGAACGCAGCGAAAUGCGAUACGUAAUGUGAAUUGCAGAAUUCAGUGAAUCAUCGAAUCUUUGAACGCACCUUGCGCCCCUUGGCAUUCCGAGGGGCACACCCGUUUGAGUGUCGUGAAAUCAUCAAAACCUUCUCUUUGACCCUCUUUGGUCGGGAAAAGGAUUUUUGGACUUGGAGGUUCCAUGCUCGCCUUCACUUUUGAAAGCGAGCUCCUCUCAAAUGAAUUAGUGGGGUCCGCUUUGCUGGUCCUUGACGUGAUAAGAUGUUUCUACGUUUUGGAUUUAGCACUGUCCCUUGGAUGCCUGCUCCUAACUGUCUCACGGACAAUGAUGGUGCUCUGGUCACUGCCAUCUACAUUGGCGGGAGGCUGGACCCACAAAAGAAAACCUUGACCUCAAAUCGGGUGAGACUACCCGCUGAACUUAAGCAUAUCAAUAAGCGGAGGA
rnacentral:rRNA from 1 species